rnacentral:rRNA from 1 species
AGCAGCCGCGGUAAUUCCAGCUCCAAUAGCGUAUAUUAAAGUUGUUGCAGUUAAAAAGCUCGUAGUUGAAUUUCGGGGUUAGUAGGUUGGUCAUGCCUCUGGUAUGUACUGGUCUCACUGAUUCCUCCUUCCUGAUGAACCUUAAUGCCAUUUAUUUGGUGUUUUGGGAAUUUGGACUGUUACUUUGAAAAAAUUAGAGUGUUUAAAGCAAGCUAACGCUUGAAUACAUUAGCAUGGAAUAAUGAAAUAGGACGUUCGAUCCUAUUUUGUUGGUUUCUAGGAUUGACGUAAUGAUUAAUAGGGAUAGUUGGGGGCAUUAGUAUUCAAUUGUCAGAGGUGAAAUUCUUGGAUUUAUUGAAGACUAACUACUGCGAAAGCAUUUGCCAAGGNUGUUUUCAUUAAUCAAGAACGAAAGUUAGGGAUCGAAGACGAUCAGAUACCGUCGUAGUCUUAACCGUAACUAUGCCGACUAGGGGAUCGGGAUGGAUUGUUUAAUUUUUUAAGUGUACUCUAGUUCGGC